GGCUCAGGAUGAACGCUAGCUACAGGCUUAAACACAUGCAAGUCGAGGGGAAACGAUAUUGGAAGCUUGCUUCUGAUAGGCGUCGACCGGCGCACGGGUGAGUAACGCGUAUCCAACCUGCCCAUCACUUGGGGAUAACCUUGCGAAAGUAAGACUAAUACCCAAUGACGUCUCUAGAAGACAUCUGAAAGAGAUUAAAGAUUUAUCGGUGAUGGAUGGGGAUGCGUCUGAUUAGCUUGUUGGCGGGGUAACGGCCCACCAAGGCGACGAUCAGUAGGGGUUCUGAGAGGAAGGUCCCCCACAUUGGAACUGAGACACGGUCCAAACUCCUACGGGAGGCAGCAGUGAGGAAUAUUGGUCAAUGGACGAGAGUCUGAACCAGCCAAGUAGCGUGCAGGAUGACGGCCCUAUGGGUUGUAAACUGCUUUUAUAAGGGAAUAAAGUGGGAGUCGUGACUCUUUUUGCAUGUACCUUAUGAAUAAGGACCGGCUAAUUCCGUG
rnacentral:rRNA from 1 species